rnacentral:rRNA from 1 species
GGGUGGUAAUGCCAGAUGCUCCAGUUGAUCGCAUGGUCUUCUGGGAAAGCUUUCGCGGUAUGGGAUGGGGUCGCGUCCUAUCAGCUUGACGGCGGGGUAACGGCCCACCGUGGCUUCGACGGGUAGCCGGCCUGAGAGGGCGACCGGCCACAUUGGGACUGAGAUACGGCCCAGACUCCUACGGGAGGCAGCAGUGGGGAAUAUUGCACAAUGGGCGCAAGCCUGAUGCAGCGACGCCGCGUGAGGGAUGGAGGCCUUCGGGUUGUAAACCUCUUUUAUCGGGGAGCAAGCGAGAGUGAGUUUACCCGUUGAAUAAGCACCGGCUAACUACGUGCCAGCAGCCGCGGUAAUACGUAGGGUGCAAGCGUUAUCCGGAAUUAUUGGGCGUAAAGGGCUCGUAGGCGGUUCGUCGCGUCCGGUGUGAAAGUCCAUCGCUUAACGGUGGAUCCGCGCCGGGUACGGGCGGGCUUGAGUGCGGUAGGGGAGACUGGAAUUCCCGGUGUAACGGUGGAAUGUGUAGAUAUCGGAAAAAAAACACCA